UUUCUGCGAAUAAGACUCAAGAAUCAUGCUGUUUCUUUCUCCCGUAUAUUAUCUUGUGUUAUAAAUAGGUGUGAAACAUGCAGCUUCCUUCAUCAUACAAUAAAGUAUAGAUCUCGUUCUCAAAUUAUUCCUUUUGCUUCUGUAUUUAAUACAUCUCUUCAAUGGUGAUCGUCAGUCGCAAGAAAGCUGCAGUUCUUUUUGAGUCUAUCUUCAGUGAUGACAAGGCUAUAACAUGUAUCUGUGUCCAUAAUGAAAAUGAUGGCGAUGACGAUGAUGAUGAUGAUGGGGUGGAUGUCGCACCUGCAGCAUAAUUAUAAUUAUGAGGUCCUGGAAUUGCUAAUUGUGGGCUGAGGAGAUGAAUUAGAAAUAUAUAUUUCUAAUGAUGCAAGUCUCAUAUAUGAGAUCCUAGUAAUACAUGUUGAGGAAGUAAAUGAGAUGGGGUUUAGGCCCUAUUAGGUUUGCGACAGAGACAUAAUAUGAUUAGACCUGUACUGCUUAUGCUAUACUGUUACUUAGAUCAGUAACAUAGCUAUAUUGAUAUUAAUCUAUGAAUAAAUGGUUUAUCGAUCACUAUCUUUUAUUAUUAUUAUCACUAUCUUUUCUUAAUAUUGAUGUAUGAUAUGCUCUCAUGCAUGUGAUGCUUGCUCACUUCAUUGUUGUUUCAAGUUCUAAUGGACUGCUCAAGGUUUUUUUUUUUUACUUAAAUCCUUCAUGCCAGUAAAUGAAGAUGAUGGAGGCAUUGAGGAUUGAUAUAGAAGCUCCAACAUAUCUUUCUUUCUUGAUGAAGUAGAACAAUACAUCUGAAAAAUAAAAGAGUACCAAUGCAAUCCAGUAUCUAGCAUUAUUCAAUAGUAUAAGAAGCAACUGCAGGAUGCUUAUACUUUUCCCCAGAUCACCAUCAAGUUACUUUUAAUGAUCCAUAAUCUUGGCCUUCACUUUAUUUAGCAUAAUCUCAGUUAGUAAUGUCAUGUACAUGAUCAUUUAAUCUAUCAUGAAUAUAUGGCUAGCACCAUCAGUAGUAUCAGCGAUAUUUGAAAUCACAGAUCUGAAAACUGUCUCAAGCUAUUUAGAUUAAAGAAGGAAAAGAAGACCUGCCUCUGAUUGCACAUGUGGAUGGGUCAGAAAUAUAUACACGGACUUCAGGAAGAUUGAUCUUCACUUAAUCAGUAUCUGAUUAACUAUCUUGGCAGCAUAGGGGAAACAUGACAUGAUGUUGUUGAAUGAGGCAUAUAUUAGUGGACUACAAUUGAAUGUUAUUUGGAUGAAUGAGAAUUGCAUAGCUAGCUUAUCUAUUUGUUCAUAUGCUAAAUACUUAUUUCUCUCUUUUCAGACAUUCCAUUACCAAGUCUGAUGGUGCUCUCUCCCUCUCUAAUUAUGUGAAUGAAGAAGAUGGCUGCAGAUGGUAUUCCAGUGCACAAGUUGUUGCUAUCCAGCGAAAGAAGACCUGUGUCUUGGCUGGUGGAGAGGUAUAUUUUUGAAGAGUACCUAUAUCUUUCUGGUUGACUUUGCAUAUCUCUUCUAUCAUACUAUCAGAUAUGGCACAUCUAUCGUCAUGACAUUAUCUCAGAGAGGCGGAUCUAUUCUUAGAGACGAUGUGGAUACAUGCCUUAACCUGUAAAUUCUCCCAGAUAUGUAUUUGGAAUGUGAAAGAGGCUUGCCAAGAUGAUUUCUGGUAAAGCAUUGAAACUGAAGAUGGAAAUUCCAUUAGCUGAAUUUGGUAUUACCAAAUGACUGCAGGCGACAACCUCCCUACCUUUCAUUUCUGCAAAUAUAAGUUCUAGAAUUCUAGAAUGCUAGCUGUUGCCGCAGAAAAAAAACAUCUGAGUGGGUCCUAACCACACUGGAAUUCUAAGCCCACCUUCUUUUUGUUCUGCCCCGAAAAUGCAAGAAAGCUACAGAUCUUUUUGCAUCUGUCAUCAGCAAGGAUGAAGUUACGACGUGGAGCUGUGCCCAGAAUGAGAAUGAUGACGAUGAUGAUGAUGAUGAUGGGGUGGACGUUGCACCUGCUGCAUAAUUAUAAUUAGAAGGUCCUCGAAUUGCUAAUGGUGGAUUGGUGAAGUUAUGAACUAGAAAUAUAUAUUUUUGGUAAGAUGUCAGCCAUAUAUAUAUAUAUGCUCAUAGCUAUAAGAUGAUCAAGAAGUGAAUAAGAUGCGAUUAGGCUUAUGAGGUUUGUGAGACAGUGAGAGAGCAGCAUCAGUGUACUAUUGGUUCUAAUAUAUAUGAAGAUUUUGUUUAACUUACAA